GAUGAACGCUGGCGGCGUGCUUAACACAUGCAAGUCGAACGAUGAAGCCCAGCUUGCUGGGUGGAUUAGUGGCGAACGGGUGAGUAACACGUGAGUAACCUGCCCUUAACUCUGGGAUAAGCCUGGGAAACUGGGUCUAAUACCGGAUAGGAGCGUCCACCGCAUGGUGGGUGUUGGAAAGAUUUAUCGGUUUUGGAUGGACUCGCGGCCUAUCAGCUUGUUGGUGAGGUAAUGGCUCACCAAGGCGACGACGGGUAGCCGGCCUGAGAGGGUGACCGGCCACACUGGGACUGAGACACGGCCCAGACUCCUCCGGGAGGCAGCAGUGGGGAAUAUUGCACAAUGGGCGCAAGCCUGAUGCAGCGACGCCGCGUGAGGGAUGACGGCCUUCGGGUUGUAAACCUCUUUCAGUAGGGAAGAAGCGAAAGUGACGGUACCUGCAGAAGAAGCACCGGCUAACUACGUG
rnacentral:rRNA from 1 species